GUGACGAUGAAGAAACACCAGGUACACCAAAGGCGGAUGCUCUUUUCGUUCAUCGGGAGAAUCCAAGGGCACUGGUUAUUCGUCCCAUGGACCAGUGGCCCACAAGAUCUAGUGCAGAAAAGCAGUCUCCAUUGAAAGAUACAGAUGCACCAGUUCAUCAAAAUUAAACUCCUUUGCACAUUGAGUGGAACAGAGAGACUCACCGUCGACAGGCGACGAAAUCUUGGGUA